rnacentral:rRNA from 1 species
AUGGCGGCUUUCCACCGUUUCUACCACCUCGCUGGUGGUAAUUUAGCUGCCCUGAACACUGCCUUUGUGGCGUUGCUGCCGAAGAAGGAUGGGGCCGUGCGGAUGACAGACUUUCGCCCAAUCAGUCUGAUCCACUCGUUUGCGAAGCUGCUCACGAAGGUGCUAUCAAUCCGACUGUCAAAAGUAAUCCACAUGAUCGUCUCCCCUGCACAGUCAGCUUUCCUGAAGACGAGGUGUAUACAAGACAGUUUCUUGUAUGUUCAUAAUGGAGUUCGUGCACUACACCAUACCAUAACCCCGACAUUGUUACUGAAAUUAGACAUCUCCAAAGCUUUUGAUAGUGUAUCCUAG